AAUAAAUUAUUAUAAUUAGUAUUUUUUAUUGUCAAUAAUAAGGUAAAUUUAUUU
rnacentral:tRNA from 1 species